UGUAAUUCACUAUUGCAGACUUUAACACAACAAGAACGUACCAUUUUAAAUCAAAUGAAAAAGACAAUUCUCCAACUACAGAACACCUCGGCUUUGAUACCUUACAAAUGGCGGCGAUACCCAAAAUGCACUUCGAUUCUCGUGAGUGUGACGUCACCUGACAAAGACCGAUUGCAAUUUAUUUGCUACUGGACAUUUC